CUGCCCUGCACCUCCCUGUCCGCCUUUGUCUCCUUCCUGCCUCCCUUCCUGUCCUUUUCGCUCUCUUCUUUGGGCGCUUUGUGUAGCUGCCGUCUCUUUGUCUCCGCCUGUCUGCUCUCUGCUCCCUCUGCUCCUUCUCCUCCCUCUUCCAGCUCCGUGAAGCUGUCGACCUCAAGGGCAUCAAUAUUUCAGGGUAAUGAAGCUGGAAGCCAGGUGUGGUGCAGCCAGCUCAGAGGUCCCUAAGCCUGAAAAGGAGGCCGAGCCAGAUGCGGAACCACACUCCGACACCUGGCCACAGGAGGCUGCGGCCAAGUCCAGGUCCGGAUGGGGGCUUGAGGCUGAGACUGAGACCCUGGGGGUUGAAUCAGGGCCUGAGGCCAAGGCCAAGUCCUUGGGGGCCAACCCCAGGUCCGGAUCGGGGCCUGAGGCUAAGGCUGAGCCGUGGGACUUCGUGGUGGCCACAGAAGGAGAGUUUGAGGAGAUGCUGGCCAUCUCCUCGACUACCUUCUCAGCCGCUACCACAGCCGGCUCCGGGAUCCCGACCGCACCGUGGUGCCGGCCAAGCUAACGGAGGAGUGAUCGCUCUGGAGUCGGUGCACGUGAUCGACCCCAGGGAGGCCAAGCUGGUGGAGGGGCUGCGCGUGGCGCCCUGGGAGUGCGGCAAGGGCGUCGCGGGGCUUCUGCUGGCCAAGCGACAGCAUCCGGGGUUAAGGUGGCACAGCUCACCUGGGACGACCAGCUGGGCCCCCGGGAGCUGAAGAAAUACCGCCUAAUCACCAAGCAGGGCAUUCUUUUGGUCGGAUUCAACGCCUCAACGCUACUGGCUGGGCUGGGCGUGCGGCUGACGGCGCUGAGGGCCUCUGGCACCUUCUCGCGGCUGCCCACCGAGGCCGGGUGGUGACGACACGUGGCGCUACCUCAACAUCAACGCCUUCGGCAGCUUCGGCUUGCAGGUGCAGAGCCAGCCUUUGUGGCACCUGCAGCGCCAGGCCCUGCGCGUCGCCGGCCUCAUCGUCAUGUGCCAGCUUUUCCUAGAGCUCCAGUUAUGGUCACAGCUGGCUGACUUCUGCCAGGACGGCUUGGGGCUCGAGCCGGUCAAGGGUUAUACAGAGCAGUACCUGCUGGAGGCCGACAUCUAGGGCCUCUCCUAUAGCAGUGGAGAGAAGACACCCUUUAGAUCCGCGCUCCGGCGCUGAUCUCCAAGAAAGCCCUGCCCUCCACGUUUGCGAGUUCCGCCUCCUCCCCCUGCGCUCCGCGGUCGGCUCCGAAGCCUAACUUUACUGGGAGCGCCCUCCCUAAACUCUUACCCUUACUUCUUGCCUCUAGCGCCCCCAAAAGCUGCUGCCCACGCCUUGAUCCGAACUGCCGGGUUUGGGGGAGGCGCUUGCGCUGCUGUUGUUCACCCUUUCCCCCUUACCGGCCAAAGAAUGGGUUCCUUCCCCGGCUUCAGAGCCUUUCCUUGUCCGUCACCCUGGCCUGACUGAACUCUGCGCUUCCUGGCUUCUCCCUUCUGCCCCCUCGCGGGUGGAAGCCGGCAGAAGGAUGUGCUACCCUCAGCGGCCCAAGACCUAUUACUUUUCUUCUACCCUUUCCCAAGCUCUCAGAGCUUGCCCCGCACUCCCCUCCUUGCCUCGCUCUCAGCCUCCUGUGCGGGCUUCUUCCUCAGCGUCCUCUCCCUCCUUCUCUCUCUGCCCCAUCCUCCUCCUCCCUGGGCCUCCCAGACGCUUAGCUCCUCAUGCCCCAUUUACUCCUCCAUUCCUCUUCCCCCAUGACCUUUUCAUCACCCGCCCUGUGUGCAAUACGGAGAGAGAGAGCCUCUCCAUUCCUCUUCCCCCAUGACCUUUUCAUCACCCGCCCUUUGUGCAAUACGGAGAGAGAGAGAGCCUGUCAAUGAACUAGAAUUAUAAUGCCCUGUUGACCCUCUGGGGACGCAUCUUUCCAAGCCUGCUCCCUCUGACGGGUUUCCUCCAACUUUGCACCAUGUUGCUAUUUCAGACGCCCCCUUCCCAUGCCCCCAACCAGCGGCCUGAACCAGGCCAUGGACCAGCGUUGUUGAGCUGGAGAGUCUGGUGUGGGGAGGGCAGAUCCCUCAGCCCAGUAUGGGGCUGUCUUCUGGUUCUAACCAGGCUGCGUUCUAGCACCACUGGAACCCCCCCCCCUCCAGAUAUUUCUGGACAUCCCUCCCUUUCUUCUGAUUUCUUGAUGCUUUAUGGACUUUGGCAGUUUCCUAUUUGAAUGCAAGUAGUAACAGCUGCAAUUGCACAGCGCUGUCUUCCUGCACUGGAUCCUCACGUCUACCACAGAGGGAGGAAACAGAGGCUCUCAAAGAUCAAAGUGACUUCGAAGUCAUUCAGAGUAGCUGGGAGCCUGGCAGGGACUAGAACUCAGGCGUCCCAAGCCCUGAGCACGCCUCAGAACCGCACUCUGUGUGACCGUGAGUGCUUGAACUUCUUGUUGAACGAUGGACAGUUGGUGGGGAUCUGUUGACAGCAAGCACAGGGGGCGCUGGGGUUGGAAUCAAAGACGUGGGCAGAGGAGGGCGCCUGGACGUGGAAGAAGGUGGGCAAAGAGGACAGCUGCUGCCUCAUCACUCCCCCCAGUUCUGGUUCUGCUGCCUUGCUUGGCUGCCUUCUGCCAUGCUGCCACCCUCCCUGUCACUUCAACCGUGGCUGUAUUGCAAUAAAACGGACCCUUAGCCCA
ensembl:lncRNA